rnacentral:rRNA from 1 species
UUGAGCGUUGAGCCUUGGGUAUUCAUCGGAUCCCAUUAGAACUCCACAAUUAAGCAUUCUUAGGAUAGAUUAGUACUAGGAUGGGUGAACUCCUAGGAAGUCCUAGUGUUUUAC